rnacentral:rRNA from 1 species
GUGGGGAAUUUUGGACAAUGGGCGAAAGCCUGAUCCAGCCAUGCCGCGUGCAGGAUGAAGGCCUUCGGGUUGUAAACUGCUUUUGUACGGAACGAAAAGACUCUGGUUAAUACCUGGGGUCCAUGACGGUACCGUAAGAAUAAGCACCGGCUAACUACGUGCCAGCAGCCGCGGUAAUACGUAGGGUGCAAGCGUUAAUCGGAAUUACUGGGCGUAAAGCGUGCGCAGGCGGUUAUAUAAGACAGAUGUGAAAUCCCCGGGCUCAACCUGGGAACUGCAUUUGUGACUGUAUAGCUAGAGUACGGCAGAGGGGGAUGGAAUUCCGCGUGUAGCAGUGAAAUGCGUAGAUAUGCGGAGGAACACCGAUGGCGAAGGCAAUCCCCUGGGCCUGUACUGACGCUCAUGCACGAAAGCGUGGGGAACAAACAGGAUUAGAAACCCUUGUAGUCC